GGAGCGGCGGACGGGUGAGUAACGCGUAGGAAUCUACCUAGUAGAAGGGGAUAGCCCGAGGAAACUCGGAUUAAUACCGUAUACCUCCUUCGGGAGAAAGAAGGCCUCUCUUUGAAGCUUUCGCUACUAGAUGAGCCUGCGUAAGAUUAGCUUGUUGGUGAGGUAAAGGCUCACCAAGGCUACGAUCUUUAGCGGGUCUGAGAGGACGAUCCGCCACAUUGGGACUGAGACACGGCCCAGACUCCUACGGGAGGCAGCAGUGGGGAAUAUUGGACAAUGGGCGAAAGCCUGAUCCAGCCAUACCGCGUAUGUGAAGAAGGCCCUAGGGUUGUAAAGCACUUUAAGUUGGGAAGAAAAGUUAUUGGUUAAUACCCAAUGACCGUGACAUUACCAUCAGAAUAAGGACCGGCUAAUUCCGUGCCAGCAGCCGCGGUAAUACGGAAGGUCCAAGCGUUAAUCGGAAUUACUGGGCGUAAAGCGCGCGUAGGUGGUUUAUUAAGUUGGGUGUGAAAUCCCCGGGCUCAACCUGGGAACUGCAUCCAAAACUGAUUCACUAGAGUACGAUAGAGGGAGGUAGAAUUCACAGUGUAGCGGUGGAAUGCGUAGAUAUUGUGAAGAAUACCAAUGGCGAAGGCAGCCUCCUGGAUCUGUACUGACACUGAGGUGCGAAAGCGUGGGUAGCGAACAGGAUUAGAUC
rnacentral:rRNA from 1 species